GCCAUUCCACACCAGCCUAGGCAACAAGAGCGAAACUCAUCUCAAAAAAAUAUAUAUAUACUUUCUCCUACUGUUACUGUCUCCUGUGGGUCAAGACCAACCCCAUCCCAGGAGAUCCCAGGAUUGCCAGUAGUGACCCUGAAACAAAAUCAUCUCUUGCUGAGGCAAUGGGCUGAUUUCCUGAGUACACAUUAAUCUGAGCUCCCUCAGCCCUAGCGGUAGGGGGAUUGGGUGCACAAGAUGGGUGCAGCCACAUAGGGAAGAUCCCCCAGUGUUGCCCUGCUCCCAGUUCAGGUUUGUGAAAAUGCCAGCAGUGUUUCUCUGUGUCUUUCCCUCACAAAGUCUCCAAGUCUCUCCUCAAAUGAGCUCCAAGGCUUGGGAGAAACAAUCUCUUCCUCUGCCAGGGUUGCGUGGAUCUCCAGUGGAAAGGAAGAACCGGAACUAUGGUUUGUGCCUUCCUUCUUGCCUCCAAAAUAUUUUCAACUGCAGAGAAUAGAUAUGUUGGAUAUUUUGCACAAGUGAGACAUCUCUACAACUGGAAUCUCCCUCCAAGACGGAUACUCUUUAUAAAAAGAUUUAUUAUUUAUUCAAUUCAUGGUGUUGGAACAGGCGAUAUAUGUGAUCUAAAAUUCCAAAUAGUAAUGGAGAAAAAGGUUGUCUUUUCCAGUACUUCAUUAGGAGAUUGUUCGAUAUUGCAUGACAUUGAAACAGCCGGCGUAUUAAUGUAUAUGACGGUCCACCUCUGUACGAUGAUGUGGAAGUGCAAUUUUUCUCUUCGAAUUUUCCUAAAUACUAUGACAAUUGUUCAUUUUUCUUCUGGUUCAACACAUCUUUUAUUCAAAAUAACAGGCUUUAUCUACCAAGAAAUGAAUUGGAUAAUCCACAUAAACAAAAAGCAUGGAAAAUUUAUCCACCAGAAUUUGCUGUGGAGAUACUUUUUGGCGAGAAAUGACUUACAAUUACGUUGUAGCUGGAUCCGAUUAAGUAUAGUUCCCCCUUCCCCUUCUGGGAAAGAAUUAUGUUCUUUCCAAACCUGCCACAUAUUCAUAUAUCCUAAAUCUUCCUUGAUGAUAUGUCUAUAUUUAUAUAUGUUUAUAUAUGUUCUUCAUAAAUCUAUUAAAUAUAUAUAGA